rnacentral:rRNA from 1 species
ACGAACGCUGGCGGCGUGCUUAACACAUGCAAGUCGAGCGGUAAGGCCCUUCGGGUACACGAGCGGCGAACGGGUGAGUAACACGUGGGUGACCUGCCUCUAGCUCUGGGAUAAGCCUGGGAAACUGGGUCUAAUACCGGAUAUGACUCCACGGCGCAUGUUGUGGGGUGGAAAGCCUUGUGUGGCUAGAGAUGGGCCCGCGGCCUAUCAGCUUGUUGGUGGGGGAUGGCCUACCAAGGCGACGACGGGUAGCCGGCCUGAGAGGGCGACCGGCCACACUGGGACUGAGACACGGCCCAGACUCCUACGGGAGG